UAAUGUCAUAAAGCGGCAUUGAGCUCGGGUUAUGUGUGAAUCUAGUGGAUAGGGCCAUUGAGAGAUUUGGAAAUUGGAACAUGCUUGGAUAUAGAAUUGUCUAAGUGUCAUAAAAGGGCACUAGACUUAGUGAAUGUUGGAACUUCACGUUGUGACCUAGAGCUAGAUCAUUGAGAUGCUAGUGACUAUUACCAUGUUAGAGACAUGAGGAUUGGGUAUUUGAGACGAAGUUUACGCUUGCUUGCCAUUUGUGCUUAUUCGCACAUGCUUGUGAGGGUCGCUCCCUACAAGCUGGCACUCCGGAGUUGGCCUCC
rnacentral:lncRNA from 1 species